UACGUAGGUGGCAAGCGUUGUCCGGAUUUAUUGGGUUUAAAGGGUGCGUAGGCGGUCCUAUAAGUCAGUUGUGAAAUACGGCAGCUUAACUGUCGAGGUGCAAUUGAUACUGCAGGACUUGAGUACAGACGAGGUAGGCGGAAUUGACGGUGUAGCGGUGAAAUGCUUAGAUAUCGUCAAGAACACCGAUAGCGAAGGCAGCUUACUAGACUGUAACUGACGCUGAGGCACGAAAAGUGUGGGGAUCAAAACAGG
rnacentral:rRNA from 1 species